rnacentral:lncRNA from 1 species
GAUUUUUAUGCGGAAUACUUUCAACAUCCGAUCUCUGUACUUUAUCUGUGAAAACAUAAGAAUCCAAUUGCAUCUAUCUCUAUAGAUCUUUAGGAUGCUCACUUUAUGUCUUUCAUGGAGAAAUCUAUAUUCAACCAUAUUUUAAUCGAUGUUAGUAUUGGACACUCCCACUGAUCCUUUUGAAAUCAUAAUUCCUCAUAUCUGAUCAAAUAAUUUGAUCAUAUCAUUGAAAUGAAUGUUCCAACUCUAAGGGUGUUGUGGUCUUUG